GACCCCUUUAAAUUAAACUUUCGAUAGUUUAGUUAUGUGAUAUUUCGGUUUUACGUUGGACUUAUGUGAAAACAAAACAUUUGACUCUCUCAAUCUCAGGUACAGAAUGAUCCAUCAAAACCGACUCCAUAACUUCACAUUUUCAAGUUGAAAUGUGUUUAGAGCUCUAAAACGCUAUCAAGCACUACUGUUUGCAGACCAUAUUUAGGAUCCCAAGUUGGGAGCAAUAAAAGCAGUUUCAGUCUAAGAAGCUUAUAGCUUGAUCCUCAUUACAGUAUAAAGCACACGGAAACAUACUGAUCAGCUGUGAAGUGUCAUGUUCCUGUUCCAGGAAGUCUGCGGCAGACGCUAUGUACACUGACUCUACGAAUUCACUGGCUGACUUUCCCUCCGUCUGUGCCAGACCGGCCGGCCAGUCCCAGGUCACGCGGUUGAAACUUGAUACUUAUUUUGAAUAAAAACUCGGAGAAAUAAAUAAUCUAAAUUGGAACGGUUUGAGAUUUAGACCCACAAUCUGAAGAAUAUCUGGCCUCAGAGUACUUCCAACUAGCUCAUCUGUCUGUCAAAGAGAAACCAGCUAAAGUCAGGAUUUACAGAGGCCAUGCUAAGGUUGUCUCCAUUAGCUCCAUUGGCAAGAUUAAAAGUGACCGGAUGUAGCUCAGAGCAGAAAGAGCCCAACAAUUCCGCUUAAGUGUGAUAAUGUCACUGUAGUUUCCUUAUUUAGGGUUCUGUUUACCAGACACUGAUCAGACGUGUUGCUUGGCAAUGUUUAGUGAAUGCACAACUUAGGGCUACAGGAUUAUUCAAAAUAAAUCCGGAAUUGCUUCGUGUGAUAAUCAAAUCACAAAGGCUGCAAUUUAAAUAAAUAUAUGCACUGCGUGUUUCAGAGUAAAGCGCGGCAUUGUGUUAAUUUAUGCCUGAGCAGCUCAUUAUCCGUAGUUCUUUUCAGCAUCUCAGAGCAGCUCAGUUCACAGUAAAUGCUGCUCCACACAGACUCCAUCUCUGCAUCUGCUCUGAGUUUGGGUUGCUGUAACAUGCAAUAACCAUCUUUCCAGACUUGUAAAUAGAAAUGCUUUUAAACAAAAGAGAAUCCUUAAAGACUCCCUGCGGUUUUCAGUCGAAAUAAAAGUUUGAUUGUUUAACAUCUGAAAAUGAAGACACUAAAAGCAACUAUUUAUGCAACUAAAGCAAUUACUAUU